rfam:Neotoma lepida isolate 417 scaffold_377, whole genome shotgun sequence.
AGCCUUUGAGGUUCAUAAGCAUGCUGAUUGGGUUUUCUUUCUAUUGUGAGGUGUGCCUCCUUCCUGCUCCAUUACAAUCCCGCACAUUACCCAGCUCAUG